UACGCAGGCGGUUUGGUAAGUCAGAGGUGAAAGUCCACAGCUUAACUGUGGCACUGCCUUUGAUACUGCCUUUCUUGAGUAGAGUAGGGGGAAGCGGAAUUCCGAGUGUAGAGGUGAAAUUCGUAGAUAUUCGGAGGAACACCGGUGGCGAAGGCGGCUUCCUGGACUCUAACUGACGCUCAUGUACGAAAGCGUGGGUAGCAAACAGGAUUAGAUACCCUGGUAGUCCACGCCCUAAACGAUGGGCACUAGGUGUGGGAGGUAUCGACCCCUUCCGUGCCGCAGCUAACGCAUUAAGUGCCCCGCCUGGGGAGUACGGCCGCAAGGUUGAA
rnacentral:rRNA from 1 species